AUUGAACGCUGGCGGCAGGCCUAACACAUGCAAGUCGAACGAGUGGCGGACGGGUGAGUAAUGUCUGGGAAACUGCCUGAUGGAGGGGGAUAACUACUGGAAAGGGUAGCUAAUACCGCAUACUAUCAGAUGUGCCCAGAUGGGUUUAGAUAGUGGGGGGGGUAACGGCUCACCAAGGCGACGAUCCCGCGCUGUUCUGCGAGGAUGACCAGCCACACUGGAACUGAUACACGGUCCAGACUCCUACGGUAGGCAGCAGUGGGGAAUAUUGCACAAUGGGCGCAAGCCUGAUGCAGCCAUGCCGCGUGUAUGAAGAAGGCCUUCGGGUUGUAAAGUACUUUCAGCGGGGAGGCGUUACCCGCAGAAGAAGCACCGGCUAACUCCGUGCCAGCAGCCGCGGUAAUAC
rnacentral:rRNA from 1 species